GGGCGAGAUAUCAUGGUUCAGUUCGCAAAGUAUGGGCCUAAUGCAGAGAGAAUUCAUAAAGGUAGAAUCGUGGAAGAACUCCCAAAGUCAAAGGGACGAUCAAGAAGCCGUAGCCCUAGGCCAAGGUACCGCGAGGAUUACCGGGAUAGAGAUUAUAGGAGGCAGAGCCCUAGUCCAAGCCGAGAUAAGUAUCGUGGAAGAGACUACCGCCGCCGAAGCAGAAGUGUCAGUGCAAGCCCAGAUGAUUAUGGAGGUCGUGGAAGGGGCAGGGCCAGGAGCAGGAGCCACUCUUAUGACAGGAGCUCGUCUCCCCGACGGACACCUCCUCGUGGUGGAAGCCCUGCCAGACGCACCAAUGGCAAACGGUCACUUUCCCGAAGUGUGUCACCCCAAGGCCG
rnacentral:misc_RNA from 1 species